CCUACGGGUGGCAGCAGUGAGGAAUAUUGGUCAAUGGACGAGAGCCUGAACCAGCCAAGUAGCGUGAAGGAUGACUGCCCUAUGGGUUGUAAACUUCUUUUAUAUGGGAAUAAAAUGUUCCACGUGUGGGAUUUUGUAUGUACCAUAUGAAUAAGGAUCGGCUAACUCCGUGCCAGCAGCCGCGGUAAUACGGGGGAUCCGAGCGUUAUCCGGAUUUUAUGGGUUUAAAGGGAGCGUAGGUGGAUUGUUAAGUCAGUUGUGAAAGUUUGCGGGUCAAACGUAAAAUUGCAGUUGAAACUGGCAGUCUUGAGUACAGUAGAGGUGGGCGGAAUUCGUGGUGUAGCGGUGAAAUGCUUAGAUAUCACGAAGAACUCCGAUUGCGAAGGCAGUUCACUGGACUGCAACUGACACUGAGGCUCGAAAGUGUGGGUAUCGAACAGGAGUAGAUACCCUAGUAGUC
rnacentral:rRNA from 1 species